GCAGUCGAACGAACUCUGGUAUUGAUUGGUGCUUGCAUCAUGAUUUACAUUUGAGUGAGUGGCGAACUGGUGAGUAACACGUGGGAAACCUGCCCAGAAGCGGGGGAUAACACCUGGAAACAGAUGCUAAUACCGCAUAACAACUUGGACCGCAUGGUCCGAGCUUGAAAGAUGGCUUCGGCUAUCACUUUUGGAUGGUCCCGCGGCGUAUUAGCUAGAUGGUGGGGUAACGGCUCACCAUGGCAAUGAUACGUAGCCGACCUGAGAGGGUAAUCGGCCACAUUGGGACUGAGACACGGCCCAAACUCCUACGGGAGGCAGCAGUAGGGAAUCUUCCACAAUGGACGAAAGUCUGAUGGAGCAACGCCGCGUGAGUGAAGAAGGGUUUCGGCUCGUAAAACUCUGUUGUUAAAGAAGAACAUAUCUGAGAGUAACUGUU
rnacentral:rRNA from 2 species